AAUUCGCCCUUAGAGUUUGAUCAUGGCUCAGAUUGAACGCUGGCGGCAUGCCUUACACAUGCAAGUCGAACGGUAACGCGGGGCAACCUGGCGACGAGUGGCGAACGGGUGAGUAAUAUAUCGGAACGUGCCCAGUCGUGGGGGAUAACUGCUCGAAAGAGCAGCUAAUACCGCAUACGACCUGAGGGUGAAAGCGGGGGAUCUUCGGACCUCGCGCGAUUGGAGCGGCCGAUAUCAGAUUAGGUAGUUGGUGGGGUAAAGGCCUACCAAGCCGACGAUCUGUAGCUGGUCUGAGAGGACGACCAGCCACACUGGGACUGAGACACGGCCCAGACUCCUACGGGAGGCAGCAGUGGGGAAUUUUGGACAAUGGGGGCAACCCUGAUCCAGCCAUGCCGCGUGCGGGAAGAAGGCCUUCGGGUUGUAAACCCCUUUUGUCAGGGAAGAAAUCCUU
rnacentral:rRNA from 1 species